rnacentral:rRNA from 1 species
AACGCGAAGAACCUUACCAGGUCUUGACAUCCUCUGACAACCCUAGAGAUAGGGCGUUCCCCUUCGGGGGACAGAGUGACAGGUGGUGCAUGGUUGUCGUCAGCUCGUGUCGUGAGAUGUUGGGUUAAGUCCCGCAACGAGCGCAACCCUUGAUCUUAGUUGCCAGCAUUCAGUUGGGCACUCUAAGGUGACUGCCGGUGACAAACCGGAGGAAGGUGGGGAUGACGUCAAAUCAUCAUGCCCCUUAUGACCUGGGCUACACACGUGCUACAAUGGAUGGUACAAAGGGCUGCAAACCUGCGAAGGUAAGCGAAUCCCAUAAAGCCAUUCUCAGUUCGGAUUGUAGGCUGCAACUCGCCUACAUGAAGCCGGAAUCGCUAGUAAUCGCGGAUCAGCAUGCCGCGGUGAAUACGUUCCCGGGCCUUGUA